rnacentral:lncRNA from 1 species
GGCUGCUGCGCUUCAGCGUGUUAUUACUGUCUGAUUUGAUCGGAGGCAGGGGGUGGUCUCCAAUCAAACAGAGAAAAGGUCCUGGAGAAGAUGUAUCUUUAAAGCUGUCCUGCUGAAUUGGAAGUCCCUGGAGGGCAGAACUGGCACCCUGUUCAAUCUGGAAUGCCCAGAAAUUCAAUCAACAGAAGUCAGUAUUGAUUUCACACCCUCCUGGACCCCUAUUUGAGUCUCUGUGUGGUGGCCCCUCUCCCCGGAAGUGAAGUCUUCCAGACUAUGAACUUCUGGUGAGAUUCCUAACACUACCAACCUCAGGAGUACAGAGCCCAGAGAAAGUCCAUUGGGGUCCAUUUUCAGGAUGGUGCAUAUGGGAACAAUAAUUUAUGAACGACAAAGUCUCUCACCAUACAGAGUGCAGCAUUUCGACCAUAGUGGUUGGGCAGCCAGCCCUUGGGAUUCUCCUGUCCCAGUCUUCCCAGAUGUGGGGUUAUUCAUUUGAGUAUUCGAACCCAGCUCAGUUUCUUGUCCAUCAUGAGCCAUCUUUUCCCAAUUGAGUACUCGAAAGAAGAAAACUGGGCUAGAGAAACAGGAUCUCGGAUGAUUAUAAUUGAAGAGUGUCUAUUGCUCCAGAGCCACAAUCUAUGAGCUAGAAGACAGCUGGGACAGCAAAUUCUUGACUCGCUUAUCAUCAUGUUCCCUUUCCAUGGUCAGCCCAGACUCUGGGCUCCAUCACAACACACUAGUCUGUUCAGCAUGGAGUACCUUUUUUGCCUCUUCUAGUCCAGCCAUCCAGGCAAAUCAAUCAAUACACUAAGUGGCAAUUCAUAAGUGACCCAUCGUGUCAAGCUGGAGAGCAGGAGGGACACCCAGCUUUUUAAAGCGAGCUUAUCAAUCACUGUAUCCCGAAUAAGCAUCUUCAUCCCAGCUACAGAAAAUAGAAGGCUGUAGAAAAGAACAGGAGGCUAGCCAUGCUUUCAACCUUAUUUUAAAGUAAUUAUAUGAAAAAAGUCUGUGUUUAUAAACUAAUAAAUUAUACACUUUUAAAAUGUU